AUACGGAGGGUGCAAGCGUUAUUCGGAAUCACUGGGCGUAAGGGACACGUAGGCGGGAAGCCAAGUCUGAUGUGAAAUCCUACAGCUUAACUGUAGAACUGCAUUGGAAACUGGUUACCUAGAGUAUGGGAGGGGGAGAUGGAAUUAGUGGUGUAGGGGUAAAAUCCGUAGAUAUCACUAGGAAUACCUAAAGCGAAGGCGAUCUCCUGGAGCAUUACUGACGCUAAGGUGUGAAAGCGUGGGGAGCAAACGGGAUUAGAAACCCUAGUAGUCC
rnacentral:rRNA from 1 species